GACGAACGCUGGCGGCGUGCUUAACACAUGCAAGUCGAACGAGAAUCUACUGAAAGAGUUUUCGGACAAUGGAAGUAGAGGAAAGUGGCGGACGGGUGAGUAACGCGUGAGGAACCUGCCUUGAAGAGGGGGACAACAGUUGGAAACGACUGCUAAUACCGCAUGACGCAUAGAGGUCGCAUGAUCUUUAUGCCAAAGAUUUAUCGCUUCAAGAUGGCCUCGCGUCUGAUUAGCUGGUUGGCGGGGUAACGGCCCACCAAGGCGACGAUCAGUAGCCGGACUGAGAGGUGGAACGGCCACAUUGGGACUGAGAUACGGCCCAGAGUCCUACGGGAGGCAGCAGUGGGGAAUAUUGGGCAAUGGGCGCAAGCCUGACCCAGCAACGCCGCGUGAAGGAAGAAGGCUUUCGGGUUGUAAACUUCUUUUAAGAGGGAAGAGCAGAAGACGGUACCUCUAGAAUAAGCCACGGCUAACUACGUGCCAGCCGCCGCCGUAA
rnacentral:rRNA from 1 species